rnacentral:rRNA from 1 species
UAGCUCACUGGUCGAGUCGGCCUGCGCGGAAGAUGUAACGGGGCUAAACCAUGCACCGAAGCUGCGGCAGCGACGCUUAUGCGUUGUUGGGUAGGGGAGCGUUCUGUAAGCCUGCGAAGGUGUGCUGUGAGGCAUGCUGGAGGUAUCAGAAGUGCGAAUGCUGACAUAAGUAACGAUAAAGCGGGUGAAAAGCCCGCUCGCCGGAAGACCAAGGGUUCCUGUCCAACGUUAAUCGGGGCAGGGUGAGUCGACCCCUAAGGCGAGGCCGAAAGGCGUAGUCGAUGGGAAACAGGUUAAUAUUCCUGUACUUGGUGUUACUGCGAAGGGGGGACGGAGAAGGCUAUGUUGGCCGGGCGACGGUUGUCCCGGUUUAAGCGUGUAGGCUGGUUUUCCAGGCAAAUCCGGAAAA